AGUCGAACGAGGGUAGCAAUACCCGAGUGGCGGACGGUUGACUAACACGUGAACAAUCUGCCUCAUACAGGGGGAUAACGCAGGGAAACUUGCGCUAAUACCGCAUGAGACCACGCUAUUGCAUGAUAGAGGGGUCAAGGGAGUAACAUCCGGUAUGAGAGGGGUUCGCGUCCCAUUAGGUAGUUGGUGAGGUAACGGCCCACCAAGCCGACGAUGGGUAGCCGAGCUGAGAGGCUGAACGGCCACACUGGAACUGAGAUACGGUCCAGACUCCUACGGGAGGCAGCAGUGGG
rnacentral:misc_RNA from 1 species